rnacentral:rRNA from 1 species
GAUGAACGCUGGCGGCGUGCUUAACACAUGCAAGUCGAACGGAAGGGCGAGCUUCUUGCUGGCGGCAAGUGAGGGGCGGGUGGGUGAGAAACAGGUGGAUACCCUGCCUAUGGGGAUGGGAUAACUACGGGAGACUGGAUAUCACACAGGAUCAGAUGGUGAAACGGAGGGUUCAUCGGACAAAGCCGGUUUUGCUGGCCCGUAUGGAUGUUUCCGCGCUGGAUUAGUUAGUUGGUAGGGUAACGGCCUACCAAGGCGACGAUGCGUAGCCGACCUGAGAGGGCGAUCGGCCACACGGGAACUGAGACACGGCCCAGACUCCUACGGGAGGCAGCAGUAGGGAAUUUUCGGCAAUGGGCGAAAGCCUGACCCAGCAACGCCGCGUGUGUGAUGAAGGCCUUCGGGUCGUAAAGCACUUUUAGCGGGGACGAACAGAUGUGUGCGAAUACGACGAUUCCGUGACGGUACCUGAUCAAUAAGCAACGGCUAACUACGUG